GUUUCAUGUGCGAAACAGCUCUUUAUUUCUUACCCAUCUAUAGACUAAACCUAGUCUGGUGGUUUAUUUUCUUGCGUAAUUUAUAUAAAUGACCAGUCUAAAAACUAUUAUCCGGUUUGGACCAGUUUGCAGAGACGACUUUUAGGGAUCAUGAAUAUUUUG